CAGAGUGCAUUGUUUGCUAGUGACAUGCAAGAGCCUGCUGCAUCAUUUGAGAGCACCUCCUCAUUUGCUGCUAUCCCUUUGCAGCCAGUGCCUCGUGGCUCUGGACCUCUGAAUGGAUUUAUGUCUGGGCCCCUUGAAAGAGGUUUUGCUUCUGGUCCUUUGGACAGGGGCAGUGGUUUUAUAUCUGGACCAAUUGAGAAGGGGGUAAUGUCCGGUCCUCUUGAUGCUGCUGACAAAUCCAACUUUUCUGCUCCCCUUGCACGUGGUCAUAGAAAACCCCGCUUUCAGCGCCUAGUGAGAAGGGUGAGUGGACCAAUGAAAAAUACACUAUCUCGGACAUUCUCAAAACAUUCAAUUGGGGCAGGUUGGAUGCAGAGGUUUUUCUUGCAUCCAG
rnacentral:misc_RNA from 1 species